rnacentral:lncRNA from 13 species
AUGCGCUGGCCCGUCACGCUGACACAAAACACCACGUGGAAGCUGCGGGUGGACAACACCAACAGGUGCUCAGGGACCUGUCCCAUCCCCACGGUGGGGUCCCCAUGGUCCCCACAGUGGGGUCCCCAUAGUGUUCCCGCGGCAGUGCCCCCUCACCAGCUGACACGGACACUGGAGCCGGGCAGGACACAGUCAAGGACCUCAGGGUUCAGCCCGUCGGGGACACUCAGCUGGGUCUGGACCACCACCACAGGUAGUCCCCUGGGGCACGGGGAUAUUGCUGAGGUGCCAGGGUACCCAGCAGGGGACCCAGCAGGACCCGGGCCACCGCAGGGACGGGCACUCACUGGUACACGGCCACCUUGGCCGCCCCGUAAGCCCCCACGAGCAGAUCUGCGGGGACAAGCGGAGGGUCGGCGCCGGGGUGGUGACACCGGGGUGGCAGGGCGGUGGCAGGGCGGUGGCAGGGCGGUGUCGUGCCAGGGCUGUACCCGCGUAGCCGUUGCCGUCCAGGUCGGUGGCACCACGCAGGGCGAAGCCGAAGGCGGCGGGGCCGGGGAAGGGGCUGUUGAGGCGCUGCGUGGGCACCGGAGCCAGCCCCUCGCUCUGCCCGCGGAAGAUGAAGACCUGCCCGCUGCCACUGUCACCCCCCUGCGGGGCACCCACGGCCACGUCUGGGGACAGAAGGGACGUGAGCGCCCGCCCAGGCUGUUCUGCCUCAGUUUCCCCAAGGCGCGGCACCGGGGGUGGCACGGCCCCCGCCCCACCCCGCCGCGGUGUUACCGCCGAAGCCGUCCUUGUCCAGGUCCCCGAGGCUGGCGAUGGCGGCGGCGAAGCGGCCGUAGGGGUGGGUGCCCGUCAGGGUCUGGGGGGGCCCAGCGAGGGGCUGCUGUCCCCGCCCCAGGUAGAGGUAGAGGCGCCCCAGUUCGCUGCGCUGCCCGUCGGGGCGCCGGGCCAUGUACAGGGGGGCACCCACCAGCAGGUCGUCCCGCCUGUGCCCGGCUCGGGGUCAGGGUGAGGGUCCCCAGAUUUGGGGGCCGGGGGCACCCAGCGGUGUGCCAGGCACGCGGCAGCACCCCUGGGUGUCCCCGUGGAGGGGGGGGGACGACUGUCCCUACUCUCACCCGUCCCCAUCGACAUCGGCCACUGCCACCGUGUGCCCGAAGUACGAAGCCACCUGGAAAGGGUCCGGGCAGAGGGUGCCACCGGGGGGUGCCAGGGUCCCCCCCCAGGUCGGGGGGGCUGGGGGAGCAAGGGGGUGCUGGGAUGGGGGACAGGAGUGCUGUGGAGCACCGGGGGUGCUGGGGGUGGCACAGGGCAGGGGUACCUGCUGGCUGGCGAUGCCUCGCAGCCAGCGCAGAGUGUCCCCCGCAGAGAAGAUCUCCACCUGCCCAGGGCAGUGUCAGACGCCAGCCCCAGCCCGGGGUGACACAUGGUGGCGUCCCCUGGUGUCCCCUCGGCCAGGCACCGGCACCGGGCACUCCGCAGCACUCACCUCACCCCUCGUGUUGCUCUUGUUGGGGACCCCCACCACGUACUCUGCGAGGGAUGAGAGCCCUGAGUGCCCCCCCCCCCACACUGGGACAUUGA